GUAUUGCUCAGUGUUAGAGCACUUGCCUAGAAUUUAUGAGGCCCUGGGUUAAAUCCCCAGUAC
rnacentral:tRNA from 1 species